rnacentral:rRNA from 1 species
CGGCGGACGGGUGAGUAACACGUGGAUAACCUACCUAUAAGACUUGGAUAACUUCGGGAAACCGGAGCUAAUACCGGAUAAUAUUUUGAACCGCAUGGUUCAAAAGUGAAAGACGGUCUUGCUGUCACUUAUAGAUGGAUCCGCGCUGCAUUAGCUAGUUGGUAAGGUAACGGCUUACCAAGGCAACGAUGCAUAGCCGACCUGAGAGGGUGAUCGGCCACACUGGAACUGAGACACGGUCCAG